UACGGAGGGGGCGAGCGUUAUUCGGAAUUAUUGGGCGUAAAGGGCGCGUAGGCGGCUGGACAAGUCAAAGGUGAAAUCCCUCGGCUCAACUGAGGAACUGCCUUUGAAACUGUCCGGCUUGAGGCCGGGAGGGGGUAGCGGAAUUCCCAGUGUAGCGGUGAAAUGCGUAGAUAUUGGGAGGAACACCAGUGGCGAAGGCGGCUACCUGGACCGGUUCUGACGCUGAUGCGCGAAAGCGUGGGGAGCAAACAGG
rnacentral:rRNA from 1 species